UGGUUCUGGCAUCGAUGAAGAACGCAGCGAAAUGCGAUAAGUAAUGUGAAUUGCAGAAUUCAGUGAAUCAUCGAAUCUUUGAACGCACAUUGCGCUCUCCGGUAGCCCGGGGAGCAUGCCUGUUCGAGCGUCAUUUUAGACCAUCAAGCCCUGCUUGGUUUUGAAUAUAUACCUUUGAAAUACAAGGUAAAUUCUAAAUCGGUCGGCGACUGAGUUGUCCCUUAAGUGUAUUGGAACAUUUUAAAACGCUUAGAAGGGUUUCUCGUGUCAUGCCACUAAUGACACCAACUAUCUCAAGGUUGACCUCGGAUCAGGUAAGGGUACCCGCUGA
rnacentral:misc_RNA from 1 species